AUUGAACGCUGGCGGCAGGCCUAACACAUGCAAGUCGAGCGGAUGAGUGGAGCUUGCUCCAUGAUUCAGCGGCGGACGGGUGAGUAAUGCCUAGGAAUCUGCCUGGUAGUGGGGGACAACGUUUCGAAAGGAACGCUAAUACCGCAUACGUCCUACGGGAGAAAGCAGGGGACCUUCGGGCCUUGCGCUAUCAGAUGAGCCUAGGUCGGAUUAGCUAGUAGGUGAGGUAAUGGCUCACCUAGGCGACGAUCCGUAACUGGUCUGAGAGGAUGAUCAGUCACACUGGAACUGAGACACGGUCCAGACUCCUACGGGAGGCAGCAGUGGGGAAUAUUGGACAAUGGGCGAAAGCCUGAUCCAGCCAUGCCGCGUGUGUGAAGAAGGUCUUCGGAUUGUAAAGCACUUUAAGUUGGGAGGAAGGGUAGUAACCUAAUACGUUGCUACUUUGACGUUACCGACAGAAUAAGCACCGGCUAACUUCGU
rnacentral:rRNA from 1 species